rnacentral:rRNA from 1 species
AUGAAUGCCUUCGGGUUGUAAACUGCUUUUAUAUGUGACGACUACGACGGUAGCAUAUGAAUAAGGAUCGGCUAACUCCGUGC